CCUCAUGUCGAAUCAGUUGCACGUUCAUUUGAUUGUUCCUGCUCUGAUCUGUGGCUAUGUGGAAUAGUGGUGGUUUUGUGGUAGAUUCAGUUGAUAGGUCGAAACUUUGGGUGAAGAGUUGAUUGUUCGUGUGUCCGAUCUGUGGCGUUGGAGUAGUCUCUUAUUGGAAUUAUUUGAUAUAGUUUGGUAUAUACAACUUUCAGAACUUUGGAUGUAGAAUUCUGGAUGUACUGAACAAUGUUCAUUUGACGCUUAUGUAUCCGGAGUAGUUGUUUAGCUUAAGUAGAAAAUGGGACUGUGGGUACGAAUUGUUGUCAAUUGCUUAUUUUGACGUUUUAGUAUGGGAUAAUCGAUUACUUCUGAUAUUGGUUCUUAAUGGUAGUAUUUGCUCUUGACAGGUUUUGGUGGAUCAGUGGACAUAGUAGUACGAAUGGUACAUUGCGUGACACUUUGGAACCUGGUCUUACCCAAAAUACUUAACAGAACUCUGAAAAAUGGAAUGAUUCAUACCAUCCAACAGUCAAUACUAGGCUCUGUAUCAUCAAUGAUGUUAGUACUUGGAUGUACUUUUUUUCCUGGAGGUCUUCCCAUCCUAAUAGGGACCAGUCUGUAAUAAGGAUUAUUUAUGAUGGUAGCCUGGAGUGUAACAUCAGUGCUACACUUUAGACCUUCUGAAUCGUACUAUCUUAAAUAUGAAGUUUCUUUUUCAAGCUCUUCAAUUCUUUCAUUUAUGGAAGCAUCAGGUAUAGAAGGAGAAAAUAUAUUAAGUAUUCGAUGAGUGAGGAGAAGCAGAACUACUAUAUCGCUAAAGCGUUUUUUUCUUUCAAUUUGUGUUCUGGGGAUGAUCAGAAUUGAGAGAUUAGCAUGCAAAUCCUCGACGCCUUUGUGCGGUCAAGCUGCCAAGAGGGUCCAUAAACCAUAAUCUUCGGGAGUUCUAGAAGUACCUCAAAUUUGAUAUUGUUAAUGCAAUAAAAACACAAGUAUAACCAGUGUCGGCGUCCUUGCAUCUCCGAUCGACUAUAUUCAGGAGGCCUUCACCUAAUGGCACCACCCAAAUGACCUCUUAUUUUGCAUUGCCUCUAUGUUUCUUGUCUGCACUGCCUUAUAAGGCAUUAUGGGUGGAGUAUGAUGUGGGGGCCUCCUAUGAUAUCUUGAGUUUGAUUGAAUGCCACCCUUUGAAGUUAUAACAAUAUCAAUGCACUAAACAUUUCUGAGUUUUUCCCGGUAUGACUCAGGAAUCAGAACCAUUAGCAUAUUCUAUUUUAUGUUGCAAAUAGAACAAUUAGCUUAUAGCCAGCUAUAAUAUUUAACUUUGAUGCUUCUUGCUUCAAAGUAUUUAUACAAAUUUCUCCCAUUUUAUUGAACAAGUGGAAGGGUACAACAACAAGAUCUUUCUUGUGGGUCUUGCAUAACAGUAGACAAUGCCAACUAAUUAUGUGAUUCCAUGCUUACACACAUCUUAUUAUUCCUUAGUUGUGUAUGAUCUAUAGUACCUUAUGCAAGGGUUGAUGUAUGGCCAGUGAACUAGAACGGAGCCUGAACCAAGUUGUAUGACUCAUUUUCGCCGGGUGCACAUAUUGCUACUCUUAUAUGGCAUGUCGUGCUGGGGUGUUACUACUUAGUGUUGCUAUGUCAGAUAUUGCUUCAUUUUUUAUUGCUAAUGUUGUUUGUCCGGUUUUGUAUCUUGGCCGCUCGACUAGUGCAGUACUUUUCAACUAUUUGCACCUUCUAUAUUUUAACAAAUGAAUUAUAACCAUCUUUCAGCACUUCAUUUAUGCUUAUUAACUCUGGAAAAUCCAAUUAUUCUAUUGUGAAAUAGACGGGCGCGGCAACGCGCGCCAUCAACGA